UACAGAGGUCUCAAGCGUUGUUCGGAUUCAUUGGGCGUAAAGGGUGCGUAGGCGGCGCGGUGAGUCGGAUGUGAAAUCUCGGAGCUUAACUCCGAAACUGCAUUCGAUACUGCCGUGCUUGAGGACUGGAGAGGAGACUGGAAUUUACGGUGUAGCGGUGAAAUGCGUAGAUAUCAGGAGGAACACCGGUGGCGAAGGCGGGUCUCUGGGCCGAUACUGACGCUGAGGAGCGAAAGCGUGGGGAGCGAACAGG
rnacentral:rRNA from 1 species